UACGGGGGGAGCAAGCGUUGUUCGGAUUUACUGGGCGUAAAGGGCGCGUAGGCGGCCACCGCAAGUCAAUUGUGAAAUCUCCGGGCUUAACCCGGAACGGUCAAGUGAAACUGUCGUGCUAGAGUACAGAAGGGGCAACUGGAAUUCUCGGUGUAGCGGUGAAAUGCGUAGAUAUCGAGAGGAACACCUGCGGCGAAGGCGGGUUGCUGGGCUGAUACUGACGCUGAGGCGCGAAAGCCAGGGGAGCGAACGGG
rnacentral:rRNA from 1 species